rnacentral:rRNA from 1 species
AGUGAACGCUGGCGGUAGGCCUAACACAUGCAAGUCGAACGGCAGCACAGUAAGAGCUUGCUCUUACGGGUGGCGAGUGGCGGACGGGUGAGGAAUAAAUCGGCAUCUACUUUUUCGUGGGGGAUAACGUAGGGAAACUUACGCUAAUACCGCAUACGACCUACGGGUGAAAGCAGGGGAUCUUCGGACCUUGCGCGAUUGAAUGAGCCGAGGUCGGAUUAGCUAGUUGGCGGGGUAAAGGCCCACCAAGGCGACGAUCCGUAGCUGGUCUGAGAGGAUGAUCGGCCACACUGGAACUGAGACACGGUCCAGACUCCUACGGGAGGCAGCAGUGGGGAAUAUUGGGCAAUGGGCGCAAGCCUGAUCCAGCCAUGCCGCGUGGGUGAAGAAGGCCUUCGGGUUGUAAAGCCCUUUUGUUGGGGAAGAAAAUCAGCAGGUUAAAACCCCGCUGUUCUGACGGUACCCAAAGAAUAAGCACCGGCUAACUACGUG